rnacentral:rRNA from 1 species
AUUGAACGCUGGCGGCAGGCCUAACACAUGCAAGUCGAACGAGUGGCGGACGGGUGAGUAAUGUCUGGGAAACUGCCUGAUGGAGGGGGAUAACUACUGGAAACGGUAGCUAAUACCGCAUACCAUCGGAUGUGCCCAGAUGGGAUUAGCUAGUAGGUGGGGUAAAGGCUCACCUAGGCGACGAUCCCUAGCUGGUCUGAGAGGAUGACAAGCCAAACUGGAACUGAGACACGGUCCAGAAUCCGACGGGAGGAAGCAGUGGGGAAUCUGGCACAAAUGGCGGAAGCCUGAUGCAGACAUGCCGCGUGUGUGAAGAAGGCCUUCGGGUUGUAAAGUACUUUCAGCGGUGAGGCGUUAACCGCAGAAGAAGCAACGGCUAACUCCGUGCCAGCAGCCGCGGUAAUAC